rnacentral:rRNA from 1 species
CAGCCGCCGCGGUAAUACCGGCGGCCCGAGUGGCGGUCACUAUUAUUGGGCUUAAAGCGUCCGUAGCCGGGUUGGGAAGUCCUCCGGGAAAUCUGGCCGCUUAACGGUCAGAAUGCCGGAGGAUACUCCCAGCCUAGGGAGCGGGAGAGGCCGAGGGGAAUCCCGGAGGAGGGGUGAAAUCCUAUAAUCCCGGGAGGACCACCUGUGGCGAAGGCGCUCGGCUGGAACGCGUCCGACGGUGAGGGACGAAGGCCAGGGGAGCAAACCGGAUUAGAUACCCGGGUAGUCCUGGCUGUAAACGAUGCGGACUUUGUGUCGGACAAGCUAUGAGCUUGUCCGGUGCCGGAGGGAAACCGUUAAGUCCGCCGCCUGGGGAGUACGGCCGCAAGGCUGAAACUUAAAGGAAUUGGCGGG